UCUCCGAAAUAGCUUUAGGGCUAGCCUCAAGUGAUGAUUAUUGGAGGUAGAGCACUGUUUGGACGAGGGGCCCCUCUCGGGUUACCGAAUUCAGACAAACUCCGAAUGCCAAUUAAUUUAACUUGGGAGUCAGAACAUGGGUGAUAAGGUCCGUGUUCGAAAGGGAAACAGCCCAGACCACCAGCUAAGGUCCCAAAAUAUAUGUUAAGUGGAAAAGGAUGUGGCGUUGCCCAGACAACUAGGAUGUUGGCUUAGAAGCAGCCAUCAUUUAAAGAGUGCGUAAUAGCUCACUAGUCGAGUGACACUGCGCCGAAAAUGUACCGGGGCUAAACAUAUUACCGAAGCUGUGGAUUGUCCUUUGGACAAUGGUAGGAGAGCGUUCUAAGG
rnacentral:rRNA from 1 species